CCACUUGUCACUGAUGUCCACUGGGACUCUGAGCCAUUGACCAUGGCCCUCUGGAUGCGACCAUCCAACCACUUUCUUAUCCAUCUAACAGUCCCACCCAUGGAAUUAACACU